rnacentral:rRNA from 1 species
AUUGAACGCUGGCGGCAGGCCUAACACAUGCAAGUCGAACGAGUGGCGGACGGGUGAGUAAUGUCUGGGAAACUGCCUGAUGGAGGGGGAUAACUACUGGAAACGGUAGCUAAUACCGCAUCCCCUCGGAUGUGCCCAGAUGGGAUUAGCUAGUAGGUGGGGUAAAGGCGCACCUAGGCGACGAUCCCUAGCUGGUCGGAGAGGAGGACCAGCCACACUGGAACUGUGACACGGUCCAGACGCUUACGGGAGGCAGCAGUGGGGAAUAUGUAACAAUGUGUGUAAGCCUGAUGCAGCCAUGCCGCGUGUAUGAAGAAGGCCUUCGGGGUGUAAAGUACUGUCAGCUGGGAGGCGUUACCCGCAGAAUAAUCACCGUCUAACGCCGUGCCAGCAGCCGCGGUAAUAC